UACGUAGGGUGCAAGCGUUGUCCGGAAUUAUUGGGCGUAAAGAGCUCGUAGGCGGUUUGUUGCGUCGACUGUGAAAACCCGCGGCUUAACCGCGGGCUUGCAGUUGAUACGGGCAGGCUAGAGUUCGGUAGGGGAGACUGGAAUUCCUGGUGUAGCGGUGAAAUGCGCAGAUAUCAGGAGGAACACCGGUGGCGAAGGCGGGUCUCUGGGCCGAUACUGACGCUGAGGAGCGAAAGCGUGGGGAGCGAACAGG
rnacentral:rRNA from 1 species